UACGUAGGGUGCAAGCGUUGUCCGGAAUUAUUGGGCGUAAAGAGCUCGUAGGCGGUCUGUCGCGUCUGCUGUGAAAACUGGAGGCUCAACCUCCAGCCUGCAGUGGGUACGGGCAAACUAGAGUGCGGUAGGGGAGAUUGGAAUUCCUGGUGUAGCGGUGGAAUGCGCAGAUAUCAGGAGGAACACCGAUGGCGAAGGCAGAUCUCUGGGCCGUAACUGACGCUGAGGAGCGAAAGCAUGGGGAGCGAACAGG
rnacentral:rRNA from 1 species